GCAAGUCGAACGGUAACAUUUCUUGCUUGCAAGAAGAUGACGAGUGGCGCACGGGUGCGUAACGCGUAUACAACCUGCCUUGAACAAAGGGAUAGCCCAUGGAAACGUGGAUUAAUACCUUAUAACAUCUAGAUAUGGCAUCAUAUUUAGAUCAAAGAUUUAUUGGUUUGAGAGGGGUAUGCGUGACAUUAGAUAGUUGGUGAGGUAACGGCUCACCAAGUCAGCGAUGUCUAGGGGUUCUGAGAGGAUGAUC
rnacentral:rRNA from 1 species